rnacentral:rRNA from 1 species
AUGUACAUUCCUACAACAUAGCAUUAAUGCACCAGAUCCCAUUAGAACUAUGUAGUUAAGAACACUCAGGAUAGAGUAGUACUGGGAUGGGUGACCGCCCAAGAAGUCCUAGAGUUUUACAUG